rnacentral:rRNA from 1 species
AGCUUUAGGGCUAGCGUCGAGUAUGAGUAGUGGAGGUAGAGCACUGAAUGGGCUAGGGGGCAUAGCGCUUACCGAACCUUAUCAAACUCCGAAUGCCACAUACUUUGAGCUCGGCAGUCAGACUACGAAUGAUAAGAUCCGUGGUCAAAAGGGAAACAGCCCAGAUCGUCAGCUAAGGUCCCAAAGUGUAAGUCAAGUGGGAAAGGAUGUGAGAUUUCUAAG